rnacentral:rRNA from 1 species
GACGAACGCUGGCGGCGUGCUUAACACAUGCAAGUCGAGCGGUAAGGCCCUUUCGGGGUACGACGAGCGGCGAACGGGUGAGUAACACGUGGGUGACCUGCCCUCCAGCUCUGGGAGUAAGACCCGGGAAACCGUAGGGUCGUAAUACCGGAUAUGACUCCAUGACGCAUGUUGUGGGGUGGAAAGCCUUGUGCGGCUGAGGAUGGGCCCGGCCGGCCUAUCAGCUUGUUGGUGGGGUGGAUGGCCUACCAAGGCGACGACGGGUAGCCGGCCUGAGAGGGCGACCGGCCACACUGGGACUGAGAUACGGCCCAGACUCCUACGGGAGGCAGCAGUGGGGAAUCUUGCGCAAUGGGCGAAAGCCUGACGCAGCGACGCCGCGUGA